GACGAACGCUGGCGGCGUGCUUAACACAUGCAAGUCGAACGGAAAGGCCCUGCUUUUGUGGGGUGCUCGAGUGGCGAACGGGUGAGUAACACGUGAGUAACCUGCCCUUGACUUUGGGAUAACUUCAGGAAACUGGGGCUAAUACCGGAUAGGAGCUCCUGCUGCAUGGUGGGGGUUGGAAAGUUUCGGCGGUUGGGGAUGGACUCGCGGCUUAUCAGCUUGUUGGUGGGGUAGUGGCUUACCAAGGCUUUGACGGGUAGCCGGCCUGGGAGGGUGACCGGCCACCUUGGGCCUGCGAUACGGCCCAGACUCCUACGGGAGGCAGCAGUGGGGAAUAUUGCACAAUGGGCGGAAGCCUGAUGCAGCAACGCCGCGUGCGGGAUGACGGCCUUCGGGUUGUAAACCGCUUUCGCCUGUGACGAAGCGUGAGUGACGGUAAUGGGUAAAGAAGCACCGGCUAACUACGUG
rnacentral:rRNA from 1 species